rfam:TPA: Bos taurus chromosome 12, whole genome shotgun sequence.
UCCCUUGUGGCUCAGCUGGUAAAGAAUCUGCCUGCAAUGCAGAAGACCUGGGUUGAAUCCCUGGGUAGGGAA